UACGUAGGGUGCAAGCGUUGUCCGGAAUUAUUGGGCGUAAAGAGCUCGUAGGCGGUCUGUCGCGUCGGCUGUGAAAACCCGGAGCUCAACUCCGGGCCUGCAGUCGAUACGGGCAAACUGGAGUGUUGCAGGGGAGACUGGAAUUCCGGGUGUAGCGGUGGAAUGCGUAGAGAUCCGGAAGAACACCGGUGGCGAAGGCGGCCUGCUGGGCAGUUGCUGACACUGAGGCGCGACAGCGUGGGGAGCAAACAGG
rnacentral:rRNA from 1 species